UGAAGCCAGAAAAUAGCUAGGCAGCUAACACUGCUGGCAAUCUUCAUUGAAAUUAUGGACCUCGGAGAGAUCGCCCCAGUUGGACUUGGUUUAUGAAGUCGUAAAGAGCACUCCCCUGUAUCUUUUCCUCCGGAUUUUCCCUGCAGCGCCACUCGAGGAUUUCCCUGAGGCAGGGACACAGCAGUUUGUCAACAGGAGACACGCGAAAUGAAAAGAAAUUGCCACUGUCUGCCGCUGGUUUGCUUUUUACGCCUGGCAGCGGCAUCAACGGAAAAUAACUAGCAAAAAAGGGGCAGAAAGCUGCGAGGGAAAAUGGAGAAAUGGAGAAAUAGGGAAAUGGAGAAAUGGAGAAAAAGAAACGCCAAGGAAACGCAGCCAUCUGCACGAAUUGUAAUUGAAAAGAUUUCCCUUGAAGGAAUUACAAGAGCGUGGCGAGGAUCCCUCCCCGUUUUCCUGCCCCUUUCACUCCUCCUUUUUUUUUGGCCCGGUGAAAGCUACGAAUUUAAUAAGGACACCCGCGGCGAUUUUAUAUUGUACUUUGUGUGGAAAAUAAUAGUUUUCUAACCAGACUGAAUUGGCCAGCGGCGUUGGGAGAAUUUUUGGCGUUGUGGUGUCAAGUUGACUCCACUUAUCCCGUUCUCUUCGCUUUUCUCUGACUUUCUGCGGUUUCGCAAAUGUGGCAAUGGCAAAUGGAAAAUCUGAGGCAUUUUUUAAUGAAAUCCCUGAAGGGGAGUCAGCCACAAGAACUCUCAGAUGAGCUGCAAGUCAAAUUGAU